rnacentral:rRNA from 1 species
GACGGAGGAUGCAAGUGUUAUCCGGAAUCACUGGGCGUAAAGCGCACGUAGGCGGAUUGUUAAGUCAGGGGUGAAAUCCUGGAGCUCAACUCCAGAACUGCCUUUGAUACUGGCGAUCUCGAGUCCGGGAGAGGUGAGUGGAACUGCGAGUGUAGAGGUGAAAUUCGUAGAUAUUCGCAAGAACACCAGUGGCGAAGGCGGCUCACUGGCCCGGUACUGACGCUGAGGUGCGAAAGCGUGGGGAGCAAACAGG